UACGAAGGGGGCUAGCGUUGUUCGGAUUUACUGGGCGUAAAGCGCACGUAGGCGGUUUGUUAAGUCAGGGGUGAAAUCCCAGAGCUCAACUCUGGAACUGCCCUUUGAUACUGGCAAGCUCGAGUCCGGAAGAGGUAAGUGGAACUCCUAGUGUAGAGGUGGAAUUCGUAGAUAUUAGGAAGAACACCAGUGGCGAAGGCGGCUUACUGGUCCGGAACUGACGCUGAGGUGCGAAAGCGUGGGGGAGCAAACAGG
rnacentral:rRNA from 1 species